UAAAACUAUGUUGAUCAAAUUUUCCACAAUUUCGAAUUAAAGCAAAACUUCGAGAGUGCAAUUUUUACACGGUUGAGUUGAUUAAUUUUCAGUUUACUCAAUAUUGGAUAAAAUUUGACUUCAGGUUGAGUAAAAUAGAGUUUAAUCAAUUCUGGGUAGAAACCAGACCAAACUAGAUUAAACAUUGUCAAUAAAUGGUGUAAACUUUGCUCUAUCGGCGGAGUUAAAUUUUAGUCAACUUUUUGGUGUAAUAGUCACACUUCAGGUGCACAAAGUCAACUCUCCCCACUGUACGUCUCCAUCUUCCGCGUGGCUCAAAUGCCACAGUUGCUGUCUACCAGCAAAAGGAGAAACAACGAAAAUAAAUUAUUUCUUUUUUUGAAAGUUUUUCGACGUGUCCAAUAAUGGAGCAAAUUCUUCGAGAUACUGGCCUGGAACAAUAUACGGAUAAAUUGAAAGAGAAAUGAAGAUCUUGAAGAAUUUCGUUUAGCAGAAUCCGUGAGAACGCAGCCAUUUGUUAUUUGUAUAGGAAACUUGAAGUUUCUUGACAUCCAACAAGCUUUCGUCAUGGUGGAACGGCGCCUCAUUGCUGCAGAGUCUUUCGUAAAAGCUGUGGAUCUCUGUUUCAAGAUCUUUUACGUCCUAGAACUUAAAUUUCCCGAAGAGUGUAAGAGUGUUUGGGAGUUUUUCGACUGCACAGUUUUCCAAACUAACAAAGUUAGGUCGUCAUCGUCUUCAGUCUUGUCGCUUUCGUCACAAAUCACCAUGGACGAAGGAUUAAAUGAAGAUUGAUUAUUUAAUUUUACUAAUUAAAAUAAGACGUACGGGUAUUAUGUACGGGUAUUAUUUUUAUUUAUUGUCAGUAUUGUUAAUACGCUUAAUAAGUACAGUAAUAUAAGUAAUAUAUUAUUAAUAUCACUGUCAUUAUAAAUUAUAAAUGUACUAGCUCUAGUAAACAACAUAAUAAAUAAUUAUAAAUUAAAGAGCAUUCAA